GACAGAGGGUGCAAACGUUGUUCGGAUUUACUGGGCGUAAAGCGCGCGUAGGCGGUCUGUUAAGUGGGAUGUGAAAUCCCCGGGCUUAACCUGGGAAUUGCAUUUCAAACUGGCCGACUAGAGUACGGUAGAGGGCAGUGGAAUUUCCGGUGUAGCGGUGAAAUGCGUAGAUAUCGGAAGGAACAUCAGUGGCGAAGGCGACUGCCUGGACAGAUACUGACACUGAGGCGCGAAAGCGUGGGGAGCAAACAGG
rnacentral:rRNA from 1 species